rnacentral:rRNA from 1 species
GAUGAACGCUAGCGGCAGGCUUAACACAUGCAAGUCGAGGGGUAGAAGGAGCUUGCUCCUUUGAGACCGGCGCACGGGUGCGUAACGCGUAUGCAAUCUACCUUUUGCAGAGGGAUAGCCCAGAGAAAUUUGGAUUAAUACCUCAUAGUAUGUGAGGAUGGCAUCAUUUUCACAUUAAAGUCACAACGGCAAAAGAUGAGCAUGCGUCCCAUUAGCUAGUUGGUAAGGUAACGGCUUACCAAGGCUACGAUGGGUAGGGGUCCUGAGAGGGAGAUCCCCCCACACUGGUACUGAGACACGGACCAGACUCCUACGGGAGGCAGCAGUGAGGAAUAUUGGUCAAUGGACGCAAGUCUGAACCAGCCAUGCCGCGUGCAGGAUGACGGUCCUAUGGAUUGUAAACUGCUUUUGUACGAGAAGAAACACAUUACGUGUAAUGUCUUGACGGUAUCGUAAGAAUAAGGAUCGGCU